AUGGAGGGGCUCCUGCACAAGCUCAAGGGGCUCGACGCCUACCCCAAGGUCAACGAGGACUUCUACAAGCGCACGCUCUCCGGCGGCGUCGUCACGCUCCUCUCCGCCCUCGUCAUGCUGCUCCUCUUCGUCUCCGAGACCAGGUCGUAUUAUUAUUCAGCAACCGAGACUAAGUUAGUGGUAGACACAUCAAGAGGAGAAAGGCUAAGAGUAAAUUUUGAUAUUACUUUCCCGAGUAUUCCUUGCACCCUUCUCAGUGUUGAUACAAGGGAUAUUAGUGGCGAGCAGCACCAGGACAUUAGGCAUGACAUUGAAAAGAAAAGAUUGGACUCACAUGGUAAUGUCAUUGAAUCAAGAAAAGAGGGCAUUGGUGGAACAAAGAUCGAGAAACCAUUGCAAAAACAUGGUGGAAGGCUUGGCAAAGGCGAGGAAUAUUGUGGCACCUGUUAUGGUGCGGAGGAGUCAGAUGAACAAUGCUGUAAUUCAUGUGAAGAAGUUAGGGAGGCCUACAAGAAGAAAGGGUGGGCUCUUACAAACCCUGACCUAAUCGACCAGUGCGCUAGAGAGGACUUCGUUGAAAGAGUUAAAACCCAACAUGGUGAAGGCUGUAGUGUCCAUGGCUUUCUAGAUGUUAGUAAAGUUGCUGGAAAUUUCCACUUUGCGCCAGGCAAAGGAUAUUAUGAAUCAAAUGUAGAUGUGCCUGAGCUGACUGCUGAAGGAGGUUUCAAUAUUACUCACAAAAUAAACAAACUGUCCUUCGGGACAGAAUUCCCUGGUGCUGUCAACCCACUUGAUGGUGCUCAGUGGACACAGCCCGCAUCAGAUGGGACAUACCAAUACUUCAUAAAAGUCGUCCCUACAAUUUAUAAUGAUAUAAGAGGGCGCAAGAUCGAUUCAAACCAAUUCUCAGUAACGGAGCACUUUAGAGAUGGAAAUGUUCAACCGAGACCCCAACCCGGGGUAUUUUUCUUCUAUGAUUUCUCACCUAUAAAGGUGAUAUUCACAGAGGAAAAUAGAUCCUUCCUCCACUACCUGACAAACCUGUGUGCUAUAGUUGGAGGGAUCUUCACUGUCGCGGGCAUCAUCGACUCGUUCAUAUACCAUGGACAGAAGGCACUUAAGAAGAAAAUGGAGAUAGGCAAGUACAGAUGA
rnacentral:rRNA from 1 species